rnacentral:rRNA from 1 species
ACGCUCGACACCUACUGGAGGCAGCAGUAGGGAAUAUUGGGCAAUGGGGGAAACCCUGACCCAGCAACGCCGCGUGAGGGAAGAAGGUUUUCGGAUUGUAAACCUCUGUCCUAUGGGACGAAGGAAGUGAACGGUACCAUAGGAGGAAGCUCCGGCUAACUACGUGCAGCAGCCGCGGUAAUCUGAGCGGGCUGGCAAGGC